UCCAGACUCCUACGGGAGGCAGCAGUGAGGAAUAUUGGUCAAUGGCCGUAAGGCUGAACCAGCCAAGUAGCGUGAGGGAAGACUGCCCUAUGGGUUGUAAACCUCUUUUAUGCGGGGAUAAAGGUGUCCACGUGUGGAUGUUUGCAGGUACCGCAUGAAUAAGGACCGGCUAAUUCCGUGCCAGCAGCCGCGGUAAUACGGAGGAUCCGAGCGUUAUCCGGAUUUAUUGGGUUUAAAGGGAGCGUAGAUGGGUUGUUAAGUCAGUUGUGAAAGUUUGCGGCUCAACCGUAAAAUUGCAAUUGAUACUGGCAGCCUUGAGUACAGUUGAGGUAGGCGGAAUUCGUGGUGUAGCGGUGAAAUGCUUAGAUAUCACGAAGAACUCCGAUUGCGAAGGCAGCCUGCCGCAGCGUUACUGACGCUGAAGCUCGAAGGCGCGGGUAUCGAACAGGAUUAGAUACCCGAGUA
rnacentral:rRNA from 1 species